GAGACUACACUUUCAGGGGCCAUUUUUUAGAGCAUGUUACCAGAGAAGUGUUUCUGAAGACUGCAGAGCGACAGCGCAUCAGAAACCCUGAGGGUGAGCUGCAGGGCUCUCAUCUGUGUGAAGCUGGCCCGUAGCGCCACCUGGUGGUCCCAAGGCUUGUUGCUGAAAACGGUUCUUCCUUAAAAGAGGACACAGAGGGAUUCCUUUCUGAUGU